AAGCGCGAAGCCAACUUCAAGAUAAGAUUUCCCACCGCAAGGGUAAGACCCCAGAAAGCCUAUCUGGUUGAUAGGUCGAAGGUGUAAGUGCAGCAAUGUAUUUAGCUUAUCGAUACUAAUAGGUCGAGGACUUGACCAAAUU
rnacentral:rRNA from 1 species